rnacentral:rRNA from 1 species
AGCAGCCGCGGUAAUUCCAGCUCCAAUAGCGUAUAUUAAAGUUGUUGCAGUUAAAAAGCUCGUAGUUGAAUUUCGGGAUCAAUUCGUCGGUCGUGCUUUUUGGUACGUACUGGCGUUAUUGGUUUCUCCCUUCUGACGAACCAUGAUGUCAUUAACUUGGUGUUAUGGGGGUUAGGACUGUUACUUUGAAAAAAUUAGAGUGUUUAAAGCAGGCAUUAGCUUGAAUACAUUAGCAUGGAAUAAUGAAAUAGGACGUUCGAACCUAUUUUGUUGGUUUCUAGGAUCAACGUAAUGAUUAAUAGGGAUAGUUGGGGGCAUUAGUAUUCAAUUGUCAGAGGUGAAAUUCUUGGAUUUAUUGAAGACUAACUACUGCGAAAGCAUUUGCCAAGGAUGUUUUCAUUAAUCAAGAACGAAAGUUAGGGGAUCGAAGACGAUCAGAUACCGUCGUAGUCUUAACCAUAAACUAUGCCGACUAGGGAUCGGAUGAUGUUAAUUUUUAAUGACUCAUUCGGCGCCUUAC